rnacentral:rRNA from 1 species
UACAGAGGGCCCGAGCGUUGCGCGGAAUCACUGGGCUUAAAGCGUGCGUAGGCGGAUCGGUAAGUACUUUGUGAAAUACCACAGCUCAACUGUGGAACUGCUUGGUAGACUGCCGAUCUUGAGCUUGGUAGGGGCAGCCGGAACUGUAGGUGUAGCGGUGAAAUGCGUAGAUAUCUACAGGAACGCCAAAGGUGAAGACAGGCUGCUGGGCCAAUGCUGACGCUGAGGCACGAAAGCGUGGGUAGCGAACGGG